GGGGCCUUAGCUCAGUCGGUUAGAGCAAACGACUCAUAAUCGUUCGGUCCAGGGUUCAAGCCCCUGAGGCCCCACUA
rnacentral:tRNA from 2 species